rnacentral:rRNA from 1 species
AGAGUUUGAUCCUGGCUCAGGAUGAACGCUAGCGGCAGGCUUAACACAUGCAAGUCGAGGGGUAUUGGUUUUCGGACCAAGAGACCGGCGCACGGGUGCGUAACGCGUAUGCAAUCUACCUUUUGCAGAGGGAUAGCCCAGAGAAAUUUGGAUUAAUACCUCAUAGUAUAGUGAGUUGGCAUCAACACACUAUUAAAGUCACAACGGCAAAAGAUGAGCAUGCGUCCCAUUAGCUAGAUGGUAAGGUAACGGCUUACCAUGGCAACGAUGGGUAGGGGUCCUGAGAGGGAGAUCCCCCACACUGGUACUGAGACACGGACCAGACUCCUACGGGAGGCAGCAGUGGGGAAUAUUGCGCAAUGGGCGAAAGCCUGACGCAGCAACGCCGCGUGAGUGAUGAAGGCCUUCGGGUCGUAAAGCUCUGUCGGGAGGAACGAAUGCUCCUGAGGUUAACAGCCUCGGGAGGUGACGGUACCUUCAAAGGAAGCACCGGCUAACUCUGUGCCAGCAGCCGCGGUAAUUC